ACUCCUACGGGAGGCAGCAGUGGGGAAUAUUGCACAAUGGGGGAAACCCUGAUGCAGCCAUGCCGCGUGUGUGAAGAAGGCCUUCGGGUUGUAAAGCACUUUCAGUAGGGAGGAAGGUAGUGUAGUUAACACCUGCAUUAUUUGUACGUUACCUACAGAAGAAGCACCGGCUAACUCCGUGCCAGCAGCCGCGGUAAUACGGGAGGGUGCGAGCGUUAAUCGGAAUUACUGGGCGUAAAGCGCAUGCAGGCGGCCUGUUAAGUCAGAUGUGAAAGCCCGGGGCGUUAACCUCGGAAUUGCAUUUGAAACUGGCAGGCUAGAGUCUUGUAGAGGGGUUAGAAUUUCAGGUGUAGCGGUGAAAUGCGUAGAGAUCUGAAGG
rnacentral:rRNA from 1 species